UUGCCACCGCCUGAGCUUCAGUCCUUCCGCGGAGGAGUGUUCUGAACUGUGGGGGUUAUGGAAGCAGAACAGCACUACUGAACCCAUCGAUUACACUCUGGAGGAGGCCAGCUAUCACUUCUGUGCUGAGGACUCUUCUUUCUCACCACCAGGUGGUUGGUGACAAUGGGCUUUAUAUGGAUCUCGGAUACCUGUAGUUGGAAGGUGUUUUAAUUAUUGAUCAUCAUAUGGGACUUGAAUUAGCUAUAUACAUCAUACAAUAUAGGACAUGUUUGCAUUCAUUCUUAGGACUCAUGCCCAGAUUAUGACGAGAUGUAACAUCUAGAAGGGAGAAGACAAUGGAGUCAGCAUCUCAGGAUUCUGCUUCUGCCCCUGCAUGACCUGGGUGGGCCUCUUAGUCCCCCGGCCUCA